AAAUUCAUGUUGAACCCAUUUUCAAUAUAGGUUGUGAAAUGAACGUAGUGAUCAUGGACUCCAUUUAAGUUAGGAUAGUUCACGGGUCUGAGUAGCUCAAUUUGUCACAUUUGUUUAGCUACGAGAUGGCUAUCAGAACACCAACCGAUAUAUCGGACGUCACUGUCCCCUCAUAAGACAACAUGGACUCCGCUAGCACACUCAUUAGUUUGUUAUUCUCGGGUUUGUUGUUAUUUAUUUGUAUUGUCUGCUUUAAAGCUGGGAGAAACAUCUGUGAAUACAUGAAGUCCCUCCUUCUUGACGCUGUUAGAUGUACGUGCCUUGAUCAUGUCUCUUGCGACUGCAGUGUUUGUUUGAAAAGGAUCCAUCAAGGCAGCGAAGCACUAGCAAGUAGAGUACGUGAAUACUGGGAAGGGGACAGGAGGAAUAGCAGGAACAAUGCACACACUGAAGCGCCACCUACAGUUACGUCUUCUCCUGAUCGUCUGCUAUUGGACGAUUAUCCAGUACAUUCAUCCCUGAACGAGGACUAUUCUCACCCAUCCCCGACACAUAUACCCCCGCCGUCCUAUGGCAGCGUUGUCAAUGAAUCCUCUCAUCCACCUCCUAGUUAUGAGGAGUUCCAACGCAUGGACGGCAGCAGCACUACAAACAAUACACACAUUAGAGCACUAUCUCCCGACUCUGUUACAUUAUCACACACUGACUAUGAAUCUGAAGAUGCCAUUAGUUAUCAACAUGCAUACUCUACUCAAGAAAUUCCCGUGCUUUUUGACAGUAUUGUAAAUAACUCCUCGCAGCCACCUCCUAGUAAUGAGGAUUUUCAACUCAUGGAUGAUAGCAGCACUACAAGCAAUGAUGCAACCAGAGCACCAUCGUCCUUCUCUGAUCCAUUGCCGCCAACUGACCAUUCGUUCCCGAAUAUCGAUAGUUCUCACCGUGCAAAUUCUAGCCAGGAUCCUCCACCUCCCUCCUAUGACAGUGUGGUCACUGACCCCGCAUUUCCGCCCCCUAGUUAUGAGGAAGUGUAAGGCAUGGGAGGUAGCAGCACUAUAAAGGAUGCAGACAUUAGAAGAUCACCCAUCUCCUCUCCAUCAUCACCAGUAAACGAUCAUUUUAUUUAUUUAUCUGUGAGCAAGUACUAGUACAAUGCUCGCUCAUCAGUGACCUUAAGUUCUCCAUUGUUUUAUCAAAUGAAUGAACUACUGUAACAAUUAAACGGCUGCAUUUACAUG
rnacentral:misc_RNA from 1 species